rnacentral:rRNA from 1 species
GUGGGGAAUCUUAGACAAUGGGGGAAACCCUGAUCUAGCCAUGCCGCGUGAUCGAUGAAGGCCUUAGGGUUGUAAAGAUCUUUCAGGUGGGAAGAUAAUGACUGUACCACCAGAAGAAGCCCCGGCUAACUCCGUGCCAGCAGCCGCGGUAAUACGGAGGGGGCUAGCGUUGUUCGGAAUUACUGGGCGUAAAGCGCACGUAGGCGGAUUGGACAGUUGGGGGUGAAAUCCCGGGGCUCAACCCCGGAACUGCCUUCAAAACUCCCAGUCUUGAGUUCGAGAGAGGUGAGUGGAAUUCCGAGUGUAGAGGUGAAAUUCGUAGAUAUUCGGAGGAACACCAGUGGCGAAGGCGGCUCACUGGCUCGAUACUGACGCUGAGGUGCGAAAGCGUGGGGAGCAAACAGGAUUAGAAACCCGAGUAGUCC